GCCUAAUACAUGCAAGUCGCGCGGGCGGAGGGAGAGCUUGCUCUCCGGAAGCCAGCGGCGGACGGGUGAGUAACACGUGGGCAACCUGCCCGGCAGACCGGGAUAACGCCUGGAAACGGGUGCUAAUACCGGAUAGGCGCAGAGGACGCAUGUUCUUUGCGGGAAAGGCGCUACGGCGUCACUGUCGGAUGGGCCCGCGGCGCAUUAGCUAGUUGGUGGGGUAACGGCUCACCAAGGCGACGAUGCGUAGCCGACCUGAGAGGGUGACCGGCCACACUGGGACUGAGACACGGCCCAGACUCCUACGGGAGGCAGCAGUAGGGAAUCUUCCACAAUGGGCGCAAGCCUGAUGGAGCAACGCCGCGUGAGUGAAGAAGGCCUUCGGGUUGUAAAGCUCUGUCAUCUGGGACGAACGGGCAGGAGAGGGAAUGCUCCUGUCGUGACGGUACCAGAGGAGGAAGCCACGGCUAACUACGUGCCAGCAGCCGCGGUAAUACGUAGGUGGCAAGCGUUGUCCGGAAUUACUGGGCGUAAAGCGCGCGCAGGCGGCCGCUUAAGUCUGGGGUGAAAACCCGGGGCUCAACCCCAGGAGUGCCUUGGAUACUGGGUGGCUUGAGCAUCGGAGAGGCAAGGGGAAUUCCAUGUGUAGCGGUGAAAUGCGUAGAGAUAUGGAGGAACACCAGUAGCGAAGGCGCCUUGCUGGCCGGUAGCUGACGCUGAGGCGCGAAAGCGUGNGGAGCAAACAGGAUUAGAUACCCUGGUAGUCCACGCCGUAAACGAUGAGUGCUAGGUGUUGGCGGUUUUGAAGCCGUC
rnacentral:rRNA from 1 species